CCUGCCCAAGAGAUCGGGAUAACACCUGGAAACAGAUGCUAAUACCGGAUAACAACAGAUGAUGCCUAUCAACUGUUUAAAAGAUGGUUCUGCUAUCACUCUUGGAUGGACCUGCGGUGCAUUAGCUAGUUGGUAGGGUAACGGCCUACCAAGGCGAUGAUGCAUAGCCGAGUUGAGAGACUGAUCGGCCACAUUGGGACUGAGACACGGCCCAAACUCCUACGGGAGGCAGCAGGA
rnacentral:rRNA from 1 species